rnacentral:pre_miRNA from 1 species
AAAAAGGCAAACCCUGAGUUUUCGUGUCUAAUUUUGACUAUCCGUCUUAUAUAAUUUUUUUUAUAAUUUGUAUUUUUAUUAUUGUUAGAUGAUAAAACAUGAUUAAUAUUUUAUGCGUGACUUGUCUUUUUAAUUUUUUUCAUAAUUUUUUCAAAUAAAACGGACGGUCAAAUGUUGGGCACGGAAACCAGGG